ACGAACGCUGGCGGCGCGCCUAACACAUGCAAGUCGAACGGAGUUAUUUUCUUCACUCCGAGCUUUUUGCCGGUUAGCCGGAGCGGCAAUCGGUUUUGCCCAGCAUAAAAAGCAAAACCGAUUUAGGCUCAUAAAGUAAGACUAACACAGAGGGCAGAGAGUUGGGAGUGAAGAAAAUAACUUAGUGGCGAACGGGUGAGUAACGCGUGAGUAACCUGCCCUGGAGUGGGGGACAACAGUUGGAAACGACUGCUAAUACCGCAUAAGCCCACGAUCCGGCAUCGGAUUGAGGGAAAAGGAUUUAUUCGCUUCAGGAUGGACUCGCGUCCAAUUAGCUAGUUGGUGAGGUAACGGCCCACCAAGGCGACGAUUGGUAGCCGGACUGAGAGGUUGAACGGCCACAUUGGGACUGAGACACGGCCCAGACUCCUACGGGAGGCAGCAGUGGGGGAUAUUGCACAAUGGGGGAAACCCUGAUGCAGCGACGCCGCGUGGAGGAAGAAGGUUUUCGGAUUGUAAACUCCUGUCGUUAGGGACGAUAAUGACGGUACCUAACAAGAAAGCACCGGCUAACUACGUGCCAGCAGCCGCGGUAAAACGUAGGGUGCAAGCGUUGUCCGGAAUUACUGGGUGUAAAGGGAGCGCAGGCGGACCGGCAAGUUGGAAGUGAAAACUAUGGGCUCAACCCAUAAAUUGCUUUCAAAACUGCUGGCCUUGAGUAGUGCAGAGGUAGGUGGAAAUCCCGGUGUAGCGGUGGAAUGCGUAGAUAUCGGGAGGAACACCAGUGGCGAAGGCGACCUACUGGGCACCAACUGACGCUGAGGCUCGAAAGCAUGGGUAGCAAACAGGAUUAGAUACCCUGGUAGUCCAUGCCGUAAACGAUGAUUACUAGGUGUUGGAGGAUUGACCCCUUCAGUGCCGCAGUUAACACAAUAAGUAAUCCACCUGGGGAGUACGACCGCAAGGUUGAAACUCAAAGGAAUUGACGGGGGCCCGCACAAGCAGUGGAGUAUGUGGUUUAAUUCGAAGCAACGCGAAGAACCUUACCAGGUCUUGACAUCCGAUGCAUAGUGCAGAGAUGCAUGAAGUCCUUCGGGACAUCGAGACAGGUGGUGCAUGGUUGUCGUCAGCUCGUGUCGUGAGAUGUUGGGUUAAGUCCCGCAACGAGCGCAACCCCUAUCUUUAGUAGCCAGCGGUUUGGCCGGGCACUCUAGAGAGACUGCCAGGGAUAACCUGGAGGAAGGUGGGGAUGACGUCAAAUCAUCAUGCCCUAUAUGUCCUGGGCUACACACGUACUACAAUGGCUAUAACAAAGGGAAGCGAUACCGCGAGGUGGAGCAAAACCCAAAAAAGUAGUCUCAGUUCGGAUUGAAGGCUGAAAUUCGCCUUCAUGAAGCCGGAAUUGCUAGUAAUGGCAGGUCAGCAUACUGCCGUGAAUACGUUCCCGGGCCUUGUACACACCGCCCGUCACACCAUGGGAGUCGGAAAUGCCCGAAGCCGGUGGCCUAACUGCAAAGAGGGAGCCGUCGAAGGCAGGUCUGAUAACUGGGGUG
rnacentral:rRNA from 1 species